UUGGCAGGACUGGAUUUUCCUUGUUUAUAUUUACUGUUGGCUCUGUAGCUGUUGGUCAAGAGCUGGGGAUUAUUAGGUCUAAUGUCUUUUCAUUCCGCUCCUCCCUGCCAGCUGGGUGCAGUAACUCUCAGCUUCCCAUCUCUCAGCACAGGGGAGAAGAGUUGGGAAGUGCUGGUGAAUGGUGCAGUCCUGCAGUGGGUGAGGCAGACUUCUGACCUGGAUGCUCCAGUCGUUGGGGUUUAGACUUUGAGGAACCUUUGGAACUCUUUAGGUUUCACCUUCCCUGCUGUGAAUGUGAAUUAUCCAGUAUCCACCUAGAGGGCAGAAGCUCCUGUGUGGUCACUGCAUGUCUUUCCAUUGGCUCUUAUGGGACCACCAACAAGAGAGCUUUCUCCUCUUCGUAGCCAGAGCCUCUAUGAGCAGACCAGUGUUGGGUUUCAGUGAGUUCACCUGGUAACCCACCUCACUGAGGAACAGUCUUCCCACUUCCUGAGUGAUGCUGAGAAACUCCUAGAAGUGCAUUCUUCCUCCAAUCUGCCAUUUCUCUCCCUAAACAUUUUAAAAACAUGAAAUUUUUCAAUCCAUGAACAUAGAUUUAUGUCUUUUAAAAUUUCUUUCAACAGUGUUUUGUAGCUUUCAUUCUCUUUGUUAUUAUCAUGAAUGGACUUGUGUUCAUGAUUAAUAUCCAGAAUAUAUGAAGAACACACAAAACUUAACACCAAAAAACAAAUCCCAAUUAAUA